ACUUAGAUAGCUUAAAUAGAGAGAGCAUAUUAUUGAAGAUAAUAGGGUAAAUUAAUAUUUUUUAAGUA
rnacentral:tRNA from 1 species